CCUACGGGGGGCUGCAGUGGGGAAUAUUGGACAAUGGGCGCAAGCCUGAUCCAGCCACGCCGCGUGAGUGAUGAAGGCCUUCGGGUCGUAAAGCUCUGUGGGGAGGGACGAACCGCUGUCGGUUAAUACCCGGCAGCAUGACGGUACCUCCUUAGCAAGCACCGGCUAACUUCGUGCCAGCAGCCGCGGUAAUACGAAGGGUGCAAACGUUGCUCGGAAGUACAGGUAGGAGGGCGAACAAGUUGGGUUUGAAAGCCCUCGGCUUAACCAAGGAAGUGCAUCCAAAACUGCUGAGCUUGAGUAGUUAAGAGGAUCGCGGAAUUCCCGGUGUAGAGGUGAAAUUCGUAGAUAUCGGGAGGAACACCAGUGGCGAAGGCGGCGAUCUGGGAACAUACUGACGCUGAGGUGCGAAAGCGUGGGGAGCAAACAGGAUUAGAUACCCCUGUAGUC
rnacentral:rRNA from 1 species